rnacentral:rRNA from 1 species
UACGUAGGGAGCAAGCGUUGUCCGGAUUUACUGGGUGUAAAGGGUGCGUAGGCGGCUUUGCAAGUCAGAAGUGAAAUCCAUGGGCUUAACCCAUGAACUGCUUUUGAAGCUGCAGAGCUUGAGUGGAGUAGAGGUAGGCGGAAUUCCCGGUGUAGCGGUGAAAUGCGUAGAGAUCGGGAGGAACACCAGUGGCGAAGGCGGCCUGCUGGGCUCUAACUGACGCUGAGGCACGAAAGCGUGGGUAGCAAACAGG